rnacentral:rRNA from 1 species
GUACCACAUCCAAGGAAGGCAGCAGGCGCGCAAAUUACCCACUCCCGGAACGGGGAGGUAGUGACGAAAAAUAACGAUACGGGACUCAUCCGAGGCCCCGUAAUCGGAAUGAGUACACUUUAAAUCCUUUAACGAGGAUCCAUUGGAGGGCAAGUCUGGUGUCAGCAGCCGCGGUAAUUCCAGCUCCAAUAGCGUAUAUUAAAGUUGUUGCGGUUAAAAAGCUCGUAGUUGAAUCUGUGUGUCACGCUGUCGGUUCACCGCUCGCGGUGUUUAACUGAUACGCUCGUGACACGUCCUACCGGUGGACUUAGCUCCGGUGCAGCGUAUGGUGCGGGCGGAGCGGUCCUACUUUAAUCCCAUCGCGGUGCUCUUUACCGAGUGUCGAGGUGGGCCGGUACGUUUACUUUGAACAAAUUAGAGUGCUUAAAGCAGGCAAUUUUCGUCUGAAUACUGUGUGCAUGGAAUAAUGGAAUAGGACCUCGGUUCUAUUUUGUUGGUUUUCGGAACCCCGAGGUAAUGAUUAAUAGGGACAGAUGGGGGCAUUCGUAUUGCGACGUUAGAGGUGAA